GAUGAACGCUGGCGGCGUGCCUAAUACAUGCAAGUCGAGCGAACAGACGAGGAGCUUGCUCCUCUGACGUUAGCGGCGGACGGGUAGGAACCACGGGAAAACCUUACUAAAAGACUGGGGUAAAUUUGGGAAAACGGAGGCAAAUACGGAUAAUAUAUUUAAACGCCAUGGUCAAUAGGUUAAGAUUGUUUUUGCGGUACUUAUUGAUUGGCCCCCGCCGCCUUACCCAGUUGGUAAGGUUAAGGCUUACCAAGGCGACGAUGCUUAACCGGCCUGAGGGGGGGAUCGGCAACACUGGACCUGGGACUCGGUCCAGAAUCCUACGGGAGGCAGCAGUUGGGAAUCUUCCGCAAUGGGCGAUAGCCUGACGGAGCCACGCCGCGUGAGUGAUGAAGCUCUUCGGAUCGUAAAACACUGUUAUUAGGGAAGAACAAAUGUGUAAGUAACUAUGCACGUCUUGACGGUACCUAAUCAGAAAGCCGCGGCUACCUACGU
rnacentral:rRNA from 1 species